CUUUCCUGUGCAUUUGCAAGCGUUAAUACACACAAUCUUCUUCGACUUUCUGUGGACACAGGAUGCGCUCAUAUAUUUAGAAGGAAAACAUUCUUAAUGAAUGUAAAAUGUCAGAUCGCAAACGAAGCCGAGAGCACCAUGAAGACAGACAUGAACGAAAGAAACACAAGAAGUCAAAACAAGAGGUCGACAAAUACAAGAACCAAACCAGAAAACUCAUUCAAGAGGUGCAAACAAUCUAGCAUGUGGAGACAUUUUGAGUAUUUCAUAUAUAAUGCUAAUGCAUUGCUCAUGCUUUUUGAGAGAGUUUGAUCUAUGAAAAUCCUCCUCCUGGACUCAUAAAUGUUUGCCAUACUGACCACUUUUGUAGGAAGAGGACAACAAGCCAGAGGACUGUAUACCUGAUGAUCACGGUAAUGAGGAUGCCAGGAACUUCUUGGCUCAUGAGCCCACCAAAGGACUGUGGAUGCCUCUGGGCAAAGAGGUGAAGGUUAUGCUGUGUAAGCCAACUUUUCAAGUAAUUUCACGAAUUGUGAAAAGGUUGGAAUUGCAAGCAUUCUUCACAUAAAUAUAUAGAUUCUUCAACUUUUACCUGCAUUUUGAGCACACAGCGCACAAGUGAAUUGAAGUUUCUCCAACCUCUAUUAGUCAUAAGUGAUAUUUUAGCAUUUUUCAAGGAUUGCACAUUGAUUGAACUAUGUAGGCUGGAGAUGCAAGAGGUAUGGCCACCGAACAGGAGAUAGAGAAUGUCCUUUCUCCAUAAAAGGAAACCAGAAACUGGAGCAGUUCAGAGUGGUUCAGUGCAACUAAACUGGCCUACUUUUGCACUGAAGUGAUUUAUUUAAAAUAAGGCGUAUGAGGAUCCAAUGUACGAUAUCAUCCGAGAAAAUAAAUGCAGUGAAAAAGAGACAAGGAUCCAACAACUGAAGCAGCUGCUACAGGACACAACCUCUGACUCCUCUUCCUCUGCCUCAUCCGAUCACAUCUGGAAAAGGAAAAAGGAAAAAAAAAAGGAGAAGAGGAAGAAACAAAAGAAGAAGCAUAAGGCCAAGGGCAGCGAAGACUCUGACUCAGACUGAAACAAGCCCAGUAGUUUUGAUGCCUAAAAUUCCUUUGGUGAAACUGUGUUUCAGAUCACUGCCCUAUCAGAUAUGAGUGUAAACACGGGAGGCCUCUCCCCAUGCCAUCUUCAGAGAUGCUUAAUAAUGCAUGGAAGCAUUUAGUCCCUCUGUCACAUGCAAUGCUUAGGAUUUGUGCAUCUCUAUCAGGUUUCCUAUAGCUGGUCCUUAUCAGACCAUAAGCAUGUUUGUUCUUCAGGCCUGAAGUCCAGGAUUUGAGAAUGUCAUUGCCUAAAGAUGAACUCUUCUUUUUUUAAAUGUAUGUUGAUUUACAUUUUGGGAAUGUUUUGUCUUGCAAAGUGACAGAGAAGAUCUUAUUAUACAUUAUAUUAUACAUGUCGUCUGCUUUAGUUUUUGUUUCUGAAUGCUUCAGAUGUAAUUACAUGUGAGCAGUGCCUAAUGCUGUAACUUUCAUGUAAGUUACUGAAUGAGUACGAGGUUUCCAGUGUUUAAGAGUACAAAUACUCUUUGUAUGGUUGUCAGAGUUCACAAAGGGAUUUGAGCAUUUGUAUUUUCAUGAGAUUGAAAUUAUAACUGCAGUUUCUAUCAAAUUGGUGGGGAUUCAGCAUUUGGCCAUGAUACACAAGAACAUCCAAUUAGCAUCUCUUGAAUUGAUGACAAUGGAUUGCAUAUCUUUCACAUCACAAGUGGGAGAAAGAAUGAUUCAUUUGAUGUUUUCACUGAAAUCUGGACUCCCUUGGCUGUCGUUGGAGUGCAUGUGUCAUUUUGUACCAAAGAUAAACAGUGCAUCAUAACAUCAAAGGAGCUCUGCAUGAUCCUGCUUCAAUUAGAGACUAUUUAAAUGUGUGCUGUUAAAAAAUUUGUAAAUACUAAACCAAAAUGCAGGCUAUGACUGGCCCCAAGGACUUGCUGUAUUUGACUUUUAGAUUAAUUUGUUAGCUUCUUCAAUCUGCUGUCAGGAGUGUGUGUGUGUGUGUAUAUAUACAUUAAUAAUAAAGGCUGGAUUUUUAUGUUUCCUCAAUUCCUCUGUUCCAUUGUAAAUCCCUUUGUGCUGAUAUGGCCCAGGGCAUUUGAUAUGUGUGUAUCUGGCAUGUUCCUCUUUUAUAUGACAAGUCACGAAUGAGUUUUAGGCACUGGUACUCACUGUUAUGCUCCCUGCCAUACACCCCUUGUGCAAUUAUAAUGGUUUAAAUACAUUUAAAAUGUUUUGGUGAACUGAAAUCUAAUCAGGCAAGACAAUGAGUUUGAUUUAAAAUGUAGAUGUAUAACAGCGGUGGAAAAUGUCAAAUAUUUAGCUGAUAAAAUACAAAGAUGCAAAUAAAAACAGA